GAAUAAUAUAUCAUUGAAAAUUGAAAUGGUGGUUGACAUUAUACACAGUUUUGUAUUGAGUGUGCUGGGUAGAUAGUUUUGAAAUGUUCAAUUCAAAACCCCCUCCCCACCCCCCACCUCCCCCGGGUGCCAUUUUGUUUGAUGUGGUUGGUAUGGUUGGAGCGUAAUAGGUGAACGUUUCAAGAAGUUUAGCAUAGUGUUUCUUGGCUUGAGAGUCGUUUACUAAUAGUUUUGUAUAGUUGGUUAGAGAGGAUGGUUGAUCCGGAUAUGUUUGCUUUUUUAAAUUUUUUUGGAUGGAGUUAUUGGUUAGGAGUUGAUUGUUCUUCGAUUUGGGUUUUUGUAUUCUUUGCAUCACCUUGAUGUUUUUUUAAUAAAGUUGGUUUAUUUAUUUAUCAAAAAAAAAUAUUUAUAUUUAACUCUUAGCUUAAAAUGUAUGGUCGGUCAAAGACUUUAAAAGUUUAUUAGAAAGAAAAAUAUAUGUAACACCUUGCUUAAAAUCUGUGGUAGGUCAAAGACCUAAAUACUCAUAUAUCAUCCUUUAUGUUGUUUAUUGGAUAUAUGAUUAUGAGUUCUCACAGGUAAUGGGUAUCCUUCUAGAAAUUACCACCUGAGAAGUUAUGAUGUUUGAAGCAAUAAAAAUUGCUAGGUAUUUAGUACUUAAAACCAAAUGUUUUGCAGGCUUCCUGUGGUAUCAAUAUUCUGCUUAUUUGAUUUCCUUUGCAUAGAUUUCUAGUUUUGGGUGUCUGUAUCAUACACGCCCAACUACAUUACCAAAGCGCUACUAUGGCAAUAACACACAUAGAGUUAUAGACAAGUCCAUGCACAUCUCACUUUAGUCUUUUUAGUGUCUGUGUUGUCUAAUGGCAUUUGGCAAGCACCUGCCCACUGAGAUCUGUUUCCAGUAGUAGUUGUUUGGCAAGGAAGGGUGGCACCUAGGCAGCUGCAUAGGCAAUCCUUCACUACAGCAAUGCUAAAAAAAUCAUGUUUCUGUUUGUGUAACAAAGGUUACAGAUUUAACUUCCAUAAUCUUGACUUUGUCUCUUUUUUCUUGAUUUUAGACCCUUCUGCAAGUGCUGAUCUGGCUGUGGUCUUAAUGCAAGAGGGAUUGGCACAUUUAUUCCUUAUUGGUAAAAGUGUUACAAUUACUCGUUCUCGAAUAGAAGCUUCAAUUCCUCGCAAGCAUGGGCCUGCUAUUGCUGGUUACGAUAAAGCUUUGAAUAAGUUCUUUGACAAUGUUUUAACGGCUUUCCUGAAACACAUUGACUUCAACGUUGUUCGUUGUGCUGUGAUCGCAAGUCCAGGUUUCACAAGGGAUCAGUUUCAUCGUCACUUAUUGUUGGAGGCCGAGAGGAAACAGCUGAGACCUAUUAUUGAGAACAAGUCACGCAUAAUUCUUGUGCAUACAACCUCGGGAUACAAGCAUAGCUUGAGAGAGGUUUUGGAUGCUCCAAAUGUCAUGAAUAUUAUAAAAGAUACAAAAGCAGCAGAAGAGGUUCGAGCUCUUAAGGAGUUUUUCAACAUGCUUUCUAAUGUCAGGAUCCAGAUCGUGCAUGUUAUGGACCAAAGCAUGUUGAGGUUGCCCAUGAAAGAAUGGCUGUCCAAACCCUUCUUGUCACUGAUGAACUCUUCAGGAGUUGCGACAUAGCGACAAGGCAAAAAUAUGUUAAUUUGGUCAAAUCAGUCAAGGAUUCGGGGGGCACUGCUCUCAUAUUCUCGUCCAUGCAUGUCUCUGGAGAACAACUGGCGCAGCUGACCGGUAUUGCAGCAAUCCUCCGAUUUCCUUUACCGGACUUGGAAGACAUUGAGAUGUGAUAAAAGAUUUUGGGGGUAUGGAGCUAAUUACUCAUUUUUGCUCCAUCAUGUUUGUAUAUCUUAGUAUUUUUAUUUUUAUUUUUUAUAUUUAAAACAAAAUUAUGUAAGUGACGUAUUUUUUCUAAAUCUGGCAGCUCAGGGCUAGUUAACAUAUUUUUUAUUUGUUUAUUUUUAUUAUCAUAAUUGUUAUUUUUUUUGACGCUGAAAAUUCCAACCGUAGCAUCAAAGCCCUAGCCACCGGUGAACUCUGUUGAUUUAGUUAACAGUUAUAUCUAAUAGAAUCAGUGUAAAACUAUUAUCAUUCCUGAUUUAAAUUA